GGGCUCACAGUUGGGAGCCGGGUCUGGGUGACCGGGCGGUGAUAAUUAUGAGAAUUUGCAGCCAUUUGAACCACAGCCAAACUAGAGGCUUUUCUCAGUUGAA